rnacentral:lncRNA from 1 species
CCCUCUUGACAUCUUGUUGGGGGACGCCAUAUUUAAAUCUGGGCCGUACAGCGGUGAUUAGACCCUUUGUUAGACCAGAAGGUUAAGCUAUUUUAGGACUACGAGAAGCAAGUGCUCCUGGGUCCAUAAACACUGACGUUCCUGCAGCUUUUAGCUUUUCAGCUUAAAGCUCCUGCGACCAAUAUGGAGGCGCCCUGACCUGCAAGCUGAGCUUUCUUUGUCUCCAGCAGCGCAGGCGCUGAGGUGCACCCCCAAAGACAACCCUAGUUGUGGAUCUGUACUUCCAUUUCACAAUGGCACAGGCAUCCUGAGAGAUUAUUUGGCUUUCUGGCCAAGGAACAGUAUCCCCAGGGGAAAGGACAGAUGGACAUAUGGUGAUUGACCGCAAAGGUGCCACGUCUGGCCAGCACUAAAGAUCCUGAGCUCAACUCCCCAGUGGCUCCUGCUCUGCUGGUUCAAGAUUCCCUGUCCUGCCCAAUCCUCCUAGCGCGCAGGAACCCGAGUGGAGGAGGAGCCACUGUACCUCCCAGUAAGCUCAUCUCCCUUCAUCCUGCAGGAGGAG